AUAUAUCUAGGCAAAUUGCCUAGAAGUGAAUCCCCUCUCCUGCUUAAGUCCUUCCCACAGAGAGCGGUUUGAUAUGUCACUGAAACCAGCAUCCAGGUGGUAUUGCUCCAUAUGCCUGAGACCCUAACAAAAGCCUAAUUACAACUCAUAUGCCUGGAGCCAGGACAUGUGCAGGAUGCCAUGAUGGUCCAAGUUAUAUUGGGAUUCAGCCAAUAGAAGAUAUUUUGCCUGUCAUCCCUAAGCUUAGGACAAUAGGGUCCUGCCCACAAGAAAGAUUGUGACAUCUCACUGGACAAGCACCCACCCAGACUCUGCCAAGAGAGGGGAUUAUUACAUAUUGCAGAGCCCAGCACCUAGGUGGAGUGACUCUCAUCUUUUUCUUCUACCCCGUAUAUAGCCAGCUUGGUGACCUACUAUUUGAGUCUAUACCCAGGCCCAGACCACAGAUGAAAUUGUGCAAUAUGUGGAACAAACACCUAAACAAUAUAUAACACCUUCCUUGGCUCUGUCUACAAAGGGCACUUUUAUAUAUCACUGGGACCAUCAACCAGGUGAUAUAACCCUCUUCUCUGGAAUGGGCCCCACACAAAGGAAGGAUAGUGACAUAUUGCAAGCCCAGGCACACAGGCCCAGAGCACAGUUGAAAUUGUGACAUAUGUACACCAAGCAACCAAGCAAUGUAUAACACCUCAUUUGGCAAUGGAAUCGAGGGCACUUUUACAUAUCACUGAGACCAGCGCCCAGCUGAUGUGAAAUAUUGGCCUGAACCCUGCCUACAAAAGCAUUGUGGCUUUUAUCUAGCUCCAUUACAUAAGUGAUGUGACUUCCUUCUACUGCCUUGGCCCUGCACUUAUGGUGAAUCGUGACACAAAAUUGGGUAGAGCAACCAGCCUGGGCCCUGACCAGCACAGAGAUUGAGGCAUAUUGCUGAACCCAGGACCAAGAUGAAGUCACUCUCCUGCCUUGAUCCUGCACACAGGGACCCUUGUGACAUAUAUACAGGCCAAUUGCCUAGGUGAUGUUGUGCAAUAUACCUGAGACCAGAUCAAUGGCCUAAUAAUGACUCUUUUACCUAGAGCCAGGACAUGUGCAGGAUGGUAACUCUCAUCCCUGAACCUUUCCACAGGUGUUAUUGUCACAUAUACCUUUUCCAGCUCCAAAGUGAUUUAAUAAUCCAGCCUAGUUAUAGCCCACAGAUAAUAUUUGGACAUAUAC
rnacentral:lncRNA from 1 species